rnacentral:rRNA from 1 species
UACGUAGGGUGCAAGCGUUAAUCGGAAUUACUGGGCGUAAAGCGUACGCAGGCGGCUAUGUAAGUCAGAUGUGAAAUCCCUGGGCUCAACCUGGGAACUGCAUUUGAGACUGCAUGGCUAGAGUAUGGAAGAGGGAAGUGGAAUUUCCGGUGUAGCGGUGAAAUGCGUAGAUAUCGGAAGGAACACCAGUGGCGAAAGCGACUUCCUGGUCCAAUACUGACACUGAGGAGCGAAAGCCAGGGGAGCAAACGGG